UACGUGGGAGGCGAGCGUUUGUCCGGAAUUACUGGGCGUAAAGAGCGCGUAGGCGGCACGGUACGACCGGUGUGAAAGCCCCCGGCUCAACUGGGGAGGGUCACCGGUAACGGCCGAGCUAUGAGUGCAGGAGAGGGAAGUGGAACUCCGGGAGUAGCGGUGAAAUGCGUAGAGACCCGGAGGAACACCAGUGGCGAAGGCGGCUUCCUGGUCUGCAACUGACGCUGUGGCGCGAAAGCUAGGGGAGCAAACGGG
rnacentral:rRNA from 1 species